UUUCAAUUUUGUAGUAGUAGUGGAGUGUGGCAUUAAUGUUUAAUUUAAACAUUAAUUCUAUAGCAUUUGUUUCCCAAGACGCCAAGAGGCGCUGAAAACAGAUGCACAGCAAGGUAGCGUUGAAAUUUGUUGCACACCAAUAGAUGGCCAUAGAAUCGCGACGUAGAAGAAGAGAAUCAAUUAGAUUGUUUAAUGGCGUAGGUUUUCGUAGUUUUCGACGCGAUGUGUGUUAAUUAGUUGAGAAACAUUGUCGUAAUCGGAGUUCGGAACGGAUUUCCAUAAUGUACACGUGUUGUAACCGACCAGCACAAAAUUGAUAAAUUUUUUUCAUUUAUCACAAAUUGGUUAUCAACAGCAUUUCCAAUCUAUAGCAGCAGAAGCCAAGCUGUUCAGUCCACGGAAGACCAUUGUAAUUGCAGUUAAUGAGUUAUACAACAACUUUGUUGCCAAUAACAACAUGCUGCAUUUAUUUUUGUCCACAGCCAAAAUAAAAUGCAACUUCUUUCACAGGAGUAACACAUUGUGUGGUUUACUACCGGUUAGUGGUUAGCUACCAUAAUCUCCUGAUUGUUUGAGUCUGACAAUAAGCAAUACCAUAUUGUUAUUUGUUUCUUCCCUAGAUGUUAGCUUGUUGUGAUUUUAGACCACAGUAUAGAUUGAGCCUUUCUAUCUGUGUCAAACCAGUUAUAUCAACUCACUUGUUGUUGACACCCCUGGAGAUAUUACCAAACUUUCGAAAUGGUUGAAGCAGGCACCCAUGAUAUGUCGAUUCAAUUUCAGUGCUAACACUGUAAGGAUGGUAACCUGUUAUUAAGUUACACCACCUGUUUCAGUUGGCCAUAGGAUAGAUAUCCACUUCAAUGGGGAACCUAUAUGUCUAUCCCAUUUUUACACCAAAAGAGUGAUACUCUUUAAUGUUUGCAGUGUGUUUGUCACAUUCAAUGAAUCCAUAUCUUCUCAUGGUAAAAAAAAAAAAUAUUUUUAUGUUAGAGUUUUCAAACAUUUUAAGUAAGCACUUCUUUCACGUUUUAUACUUUUUUAUGCCCUAAAAUUGAUGGACUGAAUAAUGUCAGAUUGCAAAAAAAAAAAAACACUGGAACCCUUCUGCAUGACUUUGAACCACAAGAUAUUGAUCUUUUUUACAUUCGCCUUUUUGGUUGAACGGUAAAGAGUUUCACGGUUCACUGUUUUAUCCGAAAAUCGUAUAUCUACGAAACGUUGGCAUUAUUUGUCUAUGAACAGAUAUGCUGAUGACUGGAAUCAAUUGGAUCAGCUGAAAACAUAUGUUGAGACAUCUAUGCAACAUUGUACUUGGAUAUGUGUCAUUCCACUGGUAGUGGCUAUCAAACUUGGAAUCGCGUGUCUUCAACCGACUCACCUCAUCUAGGCCUGACCAGUAUCGGCCCGAAGAAAGUAGUCAACUAGUCGCACGUCAGAUAACAAAUCCUGCUAAGUAAACCAUAUGAUAAGGAAGUGAACAUCAAUCAUUGGAGCGUGAGUCUAAUGGUCUAAUGAAAAAUAAGGAUUCAUUUGAUUACCGACUUGACCUGCACGAGGAUUUUAGCCAUAUCGGAUAUCGGAAAGGAACACCUUUACCGAACAUAAUGUUCUUCUAACGUAAAUUAUUGGAUGUUCAUUCUAUGUCGGAUUUAGAUUUCAUUUAUAACACCAUAGAAGGAUUGCACACACUAAUGUUUUAAAGUUAAUAAACGUAAUAAAUGGAAAAUGGGGUUUCAGAAUGAGGCGGGAGUUUUUGUCAAUGCUGAAGUUUGGAAACACGAUCGGAAAUACCCAUGAAAUGAAAAACAUUCUCUCACGUUAUGGUAUUUGUCGUACAUAAAUUGAAGUGCAUAUCUGGGCUCCCUUCUUUUCUGUGGCCCCGUUUCCCCUUGA